GAUGAACGCUGGCGGCGUGCCUAAUACAUGCAAGUCGAGCGAACGGACGAGAAGCUUGCUUCUCUGAUGUUAGCGGCGGACGGGUGAGUAACACGUGGAUAACCUACCUAUAAGACUGGGAUAACUUCGGGAAACCGGAGCUAAUACCGGAUAAUAUUUUGAACCGCAUGGUUCAAAAGUGAAAGACGGUCCUGCUGUCACUUAUAGAUGGAUCCGCGCUGCAUUAGCUAGUUGGUAAGGUAACGGCUUACCAAGGCAACGAUGCAUAGCUGACCUGAGAGGGUGAUCGGCCACACUGGAACUGAGACACGGUCCAGACUCCUACGGGAGGCAGCAGUAGGGAAUCUUCGGCAAAGGGCGAAAGCCUGACGGAGCAACGCCGCGUGAGUGAUGAAGGUCUUCGGAUCGUAAAACUCUGUUAUUAGGGAAGAACAUAUGUGUAAGUAACUGUGCACAUCUUGACGGUACCUAAUCAGAAAGCCACGGCUAACUACGUG
rnacentral:rRNA from 1 species